UACGGAGGGGGCAAGCGUUAUUCGGAUUUACUGGGCUUAAAGGGUGCGCAGGCGGGUAGGAAUGUCAGGGGUGAAAUCUUCGGGCUUAACCCGGAAACUGCCAUUGAUACUAUUUAUCUUGAAUACUUUGGAGGUAAGCGGAAUAUGUCAUGUAGCGGUGAAAUGCUUAGAUAUGACAUAGAACACCAAUUGCGAAGGCAGCUUACUGGCCGAAUAUUGACACUGAGGCGCGAAAGCGUGGGGAGCAAACAGG
rnacentral:rRNA from 1 species